rnacentral:tRNA from 1 species
GGUCGGGUAGCUCAGUCGGUAGAGCAAAGGAUUGAAAAUCCUUGUGUCGUCAGUUCGAUUCUGACCCCGACCACCA